UACGGAGGGUGCAAGCGUUGUCCGGAAUCACUGGGCGUAAAGGGCGCGUAGGCGGCUCGGUAAGUAGGGGGUGAAAUCCUGCGGCUUAACCGCAGGGCUGCCUUCUAAACUGUCGAGCUUGAGCACGGUAGAGGCAGAUGGAAUUCCCGGUGUAGCGGUGGAAUGCGUAGAGAUCGGGAAGAACAUCAGUGGCGAAAGCGACUUCCUGGACCAAUACUGACGCUCAUGUGCGAAAGCGUGGGGAGCAAACAGG
rnacentral:rRNA from 1 species